rnacentral:rRNA from 1 species
UACGGAGGGGGCAAGCGUUAUUCGGAAUCAUUGGGCGUAAAGGGCGCGUAGGCGGCUUGGCAAGUCACAGGUGAAAUCCCUCGGCCUAACCGAGGAACUGCCUUUGAAACUGCUUGGCUUGAGGCCGGGAGAGGGUAGCGGAAUUCCCAGUGUAGCGGUGAAAUGCGUAGAUAUUGGGAAGAACACCGGUGGCGAAGGCGGCGACCUGGUCCAUUACUGACGCUGAGGCGCGACAGCGUGGGGAGCAAACAGG